AACGAACGCUGGCGGCAUGCCUAACACAUGCAAGUCGAACGAGACCUUCGGGUCUAGUGGCGCAUGGGUGCGUAACGCGUGGGAACCUGCCCUUAGGUUCGGAAUAACUUCCCGAAAGGGGUGCUAAUACCGGAUAAUGUCUUCGGACCAAAGAUUUAUCGCCUUUGGCUGGGCCCGCGUUGGCUUAGCUAGUUGGUAGGGUAAAAGCCUACCAAGGUGACGCUCCAUAUCUUGUCUUAGAGGAUGAUCAGCCACACUGGGACUGAGACACGGCCCAGACUCCUACGGGAGGCAGCAGUGGGGAAGAUUGGACAAUGGGCGAAAGCCUGAUCCAGCAAUGCCGCGUGAGUGAUGAAGGCCUUAGGAUUGUAAAGCUCUUUUACCCGGGAUGAUAAUGACAGUACCGGGAGAAUAAGCUCCGGCUAACUCCGU
rnacentral:rRNA from 1 species